rnacentral:rRNA from 1 species
AGCUCGUGUCGUGAGAUGUUGGUUAAGUCCGCCACGAGCGCAACCCCUAUUGUUAGUUGCCAUCAUUCAGUUGGGCACUCUAGCGAGACUGCCGGUAAUAAACCGGAGGAAGGUGGGGAUGACGUCAAAUCAUCAUGCCCCUUAUGACCUGGGCUACACACGUGCUACAAUGGUUGGUACAACGAGUUGCGAGUCGGUGACGGCGAGCUAAUCUCUUAAAGCCAAUCUCAGUUCGGAUUGUAGGCUGCAACUCGCCUACAUGAAGUCGGAAUCGCUAGUAAUCGCGGAUCAGCACGCCGCGGUGAAUACGUUCCCGGGCCUU